rnacentral:rRNA from 1 species
AUUGAACGCUGGCGGCAGGCCUAAACCAUGCAAGUCGAGCGAGCGGCGGACGGGUGAGUAAUGUCUGGGAAACUGCCUGAUGGAGGGGGAAAACUACUGGAAACGGUGGCUAAUACCGCAUACCAUCAGAUGGGCACAGAUGGGAUUAGCUAGUAGGUGGGGUAAUGGCUAACCUAGGCGACGAUCCCUAGGUGGUCUGAUAGGAUGAACAGCCACACUGGAACUGCGACACGGUCCAGACUCCUACGGGAGGCAGCAGUGGGGAAUAUUGCACAAUGGGCGCAAGCCUGAUGCAGCCAUGCCGCGUGUGUGAAGAAGGCCUUCGGGUUGUAAAGCACUUUCAGCGAGGAGGCGUUACUCGCAGAAGAAGCACCGGCUAACGCCGUGCCAGCAGCCGCGGUAAUUC